rnacentral:rRNA from 1 species
GAUGAACGCUGGCGGCGUGCCUAAUACAUGCAAGUCGAGCGAACAGACGAUGAUCUUGCUCCUCUGACGUUAGCGGCGGACGGGUGAGUAACACGUGGAUAACCUACUUAUAAGUCUGGUAUAAUUUCGGGAAACCGGAGCUAAUACCGUAUAAUAUACUGCACCGCAUGGUUCAAUAGUGAAUGACGGUUUUGCUGUCACUUAUAGCUGGAUCUCGGCCGCAUUAGCUAGUUGGUAAGUUAACGGCUUACCACGGCAACCAUGCGUAGCCGACCUGCGAGGCUGAUAGGCCACAUUGGAAGUGAGCCACGGUCAAGACUACUACGGGACGCAGCAGUAGGGAAUCUGCCGCAACAGGCGAAAGCAUUACGGAGCAACGGCAAGUGAGUGAUGAAGGUCCUGGGAGCGUAAAACUGUGUUAUGAGGGAAGAACAAAUGUGUACGUAGCUAUGGACGGCUUGACGGUACUUAAUAAGAAAGCCACGGCUAACUACGUG